rnacentral:rRNA from 1 species
AGAGUUUGAUCCUGGCUCAGGACGAACGCUGGCGGCGUGCCCAAUACAUGCAAGUUGAGCGCUGAAGGUUGGUACUUGUACCAACUGGAUGAGCAGCGAACGGGUGAGUAACGCGUGGGGAAUCUGCCUUUGAGCGGGGGACAACAUUUGGAAACGAAUGCUAAUACCGCAUAAAAACUUUAAACACAAGUUUUAAGCUUGAAAGAUGCAAUUGCAUCACUCAAAGAUGAUCCCGCGUUGUAUUAGCUAGUUGGUGAGGUAAAGGCUUACCAAGGCGAUGAUACAUAGCCGACCUGAGAGGGUGAUCGGCCACAUUGGGACUGAGACACGGCCCAAACUCCUACGGGAGGCAGCAGUAGGGAAUCUUCGGCAAUGGACGAAAGUCUGACCGAGCAACGCCGCGUGAGUGAAGAAGGUUUUCGGAUCGUAAAACUCUGUUGGUAGAGAAGAACGUUGGUGAGAGUGGAAAGCUCAUCAAGUGACGGUAACUACCCAGAAAGGGACGGCUAACUACGUGCCAGCAGCCGCGGUAAUACGUAGGUCCCGAGCGUUGCCCGGAUUUAUUGGGCGUAAAGCGAGCGCAGGUGGUUUAUUAAGUCUGGUGUAAAAGGCAGUGGCUCAACCAUUGUAUGCAUUGGAAACUGGUAGACUUGAGUGCAGGAGAGGAGAGUGGAAUUCCAUGUGUAGCGGUGAAAUGCGUAGAUAUAUGGAGGAACACCGGUGGCGAAAGCGGCUCUCUGGCCUGUAACUGACACUGAGGCUCGAAAGCGUGGGGAGCGAACAGGAUUAGAUACCCUGGUAGUCCACGCCGUAAACGAUGAGUGCUAGAUGUAGGGAGCUAUAAGUUCUCUGUAUCGCAGCU